rfam:Puccinia sorghi strain RO10H11247 Scaffold_7642, whole genome shotgun sequence.
GUGUACUUAGAUCAAUGGUUAGAGCAUCACUCAUGAAUGCUGAGGUUGUUGGUUCAAGUCCCACAAUACACA